rnacentral:rRNA from 1 species
UGGGGAAUAUUGCACAAUGGGCGCAAGCCUGAUGCAGCCAUGCCGCGUGUGUGAAGAAGGCCUUCGUGUUGUAAAGCACUUUCAGCGAGGAGGAAGGGUAGUGUGUUAAUAGCACAUUGCAUUGACGUUACUCGCAGAAGAAGCACCGGCUAACUCCGUGCCAGCAGCCGCGGUAAUACGGAGGGUGCAAGCGUUAAUCGGAAUUACUGGGCGUAAAGCGCACGCAGGCGGUUUGUUAAGUCAGAUGUGAAAUCCCCGCGCUUAACGUGGGAACUGCAUUUGAAACUGGCAAGCUAGAGUCUUGUAGAGGGGGGUAGAAUUCCAGGUGUAGCGGUGAAAUGCGUAGAGAUCUGGAGGAAUACCGGUGGCGAAGGCGGCCCCCUGGACAAAGACUGACGCUCAGGUGCGAAAGCGUGGGGAGCAAACA